AGUGCAUAAAGCUGUGCCGGAAAUCCAAUUUUCCCACUGCUAUCUGAGCUUGCUUUGUCCCUACUUGCGCUGCCUCUUUCGAACGCAGCUAUCGAAUGCAUGCUCA
rnacentral:lncRNA from 1 species